GGAGCGGUGAAAUGCAUUGAGAUCGGAAAGAACACCAACGGCGAAAGCACUCUGCUGGGCCGACACUGACACUGAGAGACGAAAGCUAGGGGAGCAAAUGGGAUUAGAGACCCCAGUAGUCCUAGCCGUAAACGAUCGAUACUAGGUGCUGUGCGACUCGACCCGUGCAGUGCUGUAGCUAACGCGUUAAGUAUCCCGCCUGGGGAGUACGUUCGCAAGAAUGAAACUCAAAGGAAUUGACGGGGGCCCGCACAAGCGG
rnacentral:ncRNA from 1 species